GCCUUAUUUAGCCACGAAAUGCCUGACC
rnacentral:sRNA from 1 species